GGGCGCGUAGCUCAGCGGUAGAGCGCUACGGUGACAUCGUAGGGGUCGCUGGUUCAAACCCAGCCGCGCCCACCA
rnacentral:tRNA from 1 species